rnacentral:rRNA from 1 species
CCAGCAGCCGCGGUAAUUCCAGCUCCAAUAGCGUAUAUUAAAAUUGUUGCAGUUAAAAAGCUCGUAGUUGAAUUUCUGUUAAAAAUAACCGGUCUGCUUUUAAUAAAAGUGGUAUCUUGGUGUGUUUUUAGCAAUAAUGUCCUUUGAAAUGUUUUUUACUUUAUUGUAAUAAAUAAUAUUCAGGAUUUUUACUUUGAGAAAAUUAGAGUGUUUCUAGCAGGCUAACGCUUUGAAUACUGCAGCAUGGAAUAAUAAAAUAGGAUUUUAGUUCUACAUUAUUGGUUUUAAGAACUAAAUUAAUGAUUGAUAGGGACAGUUGGGGGCAUU